UAGCCGCAAGUCUCUUCAUCUCUCUCUCUCUCUGAGAUUAUUCUUUUCAGAUCUUUGUGUGCAUUCGUGCCAUUUCUACUAUCGGUAUGGAUUAAGUUUACCCUUGUUUUCUGUUUUCUUAAUGCUUGUCAGUUAGGAUUAUUUAUCACAGAGCUUAGAGCAAUGGCUCCUGCUAAAGGUACCUCCUUUCUCAUGGAACUGAUAUAUUUUGUAUAGUACCCAGAAAAGGAAGAAAACAAAGAAUGUGGGUUUCAUCAUAGCUUUCUCGUUCUUCUAAUUUUCUUGUUGUUUAUUGGUAUUGGUUCUUUUGAUUGUUCAAGUGUUUGAUGUUUGAAUGCUGGGCUUGAUUGGUUGGACAAUUUUCUUAUCUCCCUAUAGAAAACUCGUACAGAAGGAGGCUUCUUUCUCUUCUUCUCCCAAAAACUCUGCCCUCUCUCAACCCAGACCCUUGUCUGUCCGUGUCUCACCCUAAUUUUUUGGGGCUGCUUCUCAGUCUGUUGUUCUGAUUUUGGUUAGAUCUCCCACCUUUGGACCGUUGUUGUAUGUAUUCUUGAUCUAGGUAGAUCUCCUUUGGAUAUAUUUUUUGUGGAGGUGUAGUUGUUGGAUCUAGUUAGGUAGGUCUAGGUAGAUCUUCCAUCAUAUGGUAUUGAGGGAUCGUGAGUUUCCAUCAUAGGUCGAAGGAAGUUUUUUAUUAGGGAUAUUUCUGGAAUUGGUCUCCUCUUUUGUUUUCAUUAUAUUUCCUUGUGAAUGAUUUACAUUUUUCUUCGACCUAUACCUGAUGGGAACCAAAUCCAGAUUGAGUUCACAUUCUCAUUCAUGCUAAAGAAGUAGUUAUUUGAAAGAUUAGUAUGUGAAUGUGGAUCAAAAAAUGUGUUUGAAUCACUUUAUUAAGGGCUCCCAACUCCUGUAUCAAAUCCUGUAUUUUUGGAUUAAACACUUGGUUGACCUGAGUUAUUUUCAUUAAGUUUUUUGGCUUUACUCAUCUCUCUUUAUUGACCAAGUUAUUGUUAGUCAUUUUGUUUGCUUGUCCUCUUUAUUCUUUCUAUUUGACCAUGUAAGAUCUAGCUGCAUGGAUUUAAUUAGGAAAAGGAACUUUGAUGGCGUACAUAAAUAUCUAUUAUCCGUAGUGGUUUAAAUUUGUAGGUCAUGAUCAAAUUCGUACAAAUAGUGUUUGGCGUAGUGGUUUUAAAUAUUGCUAAGCCACAUGCAUCUUUUCCAGUAUCUUUGAUGCUGUGAUGUAUCAUUUCUUGUUCGACAAGCACCCAAAUAUCGGUUUGGCUGCUCUUUUAAACUGUUUCUUUAACUUCGACUCUACUACUCUCAGCAUCUCCGAUAAUAUUUUUUUCAACACCUUUUAAGUCUUUUAUCUCACCCUCAGCAUCAAAGCAUUGAGUUGCAAAUCAAGAUUUUAAAAUUAGCUGCCACAUACAUUAAUUCAGAAUCAGCUAACGUCAUACACUAAUGCACUUGUUACUUAAUACUCAUCACAUCUAAAAUCGCCUAGCUUUGCUUGUCCGUCAAGUAGGAACAUGUUGCAAGGUAAUAAAUCACCAUAGAAUAAUCGUUUUCUAUGGAGAUAUAUCAUGCAAGGCUUGGUAUAUCUCAAUGGAAAACGAUUCCUCCAUAGUGAUUUAUUGCCUUGCAACGUGUUCUUAUUUGAUGGAUAAGCAAAGCUGGGUGAUUUUGGAUGUGGUGAGUAUUGAGUAAGUACCAAAUGCAUUAGUGUAUGAUGUUAGCUGAUUUUGAAUUAAUGUAUGUAGGCUAAUUUUAAAAUCCUUGAUUUGCAGCUAAAUGCUUUGAUGUUGGGGGUGAGAUAAAGGACUUGAAAGGUGUUGAAAAAAUAUUAUCGGAGAUGGUGAGAGUAGUAGAGUCGAAGUUGAAGAAACAGUUGAAAAGAGCAGCCAAAUCGAUCGUUGGGGGCCUGUCGAACGAGAACUCAUCUAUCACAGCAUCAAAGAUAUUGGAAAGGAUGCAUUUGGCUUCGCAAAUUUGAACACAGAGCGGAGAGUUGCAAUAGAUUUAGGGUCCUCACACCUUUUCUUUAGCUCUAUUCCUCAAAUUGUCUAACUGCUGCUCGAAUUAUCAGCUGGUCAUUUUUUGAAUUCUUCAAUGCUGAGUUCCAAUUGAAUUCUUUGAUGUAUAUUUCUGAUCUGUUAUAAAGCUCCAAAAAAAUUUCUUGAAGUAUCUCGCUCAUUUGGUCCACAUCACAUGUGAGACUUCAACAUGUAAGUGAGAACUAAAACCAACAUACUUCAAAAGGGUCUUUGUUUAGAUGAAUCUAUGCCCUCUAAUCGAGCACUUCAGCAGGGUGCAGGUUCCAAUAUCUUCUAACAAAAGUUCAUUAGUUUAGGAAAAAUUGUCUUAUCCUCGUAUUUGAAAACCAUUACAUUGAAAUUUUGGUUUUGAGCUUUUAUUUUACAUCAAUGAUUAACAGUAUAUUUCAAGAUCGGUCUUAUGCAGAGUUACAAACUAGACUAUUGAGACAAACUUGCAAAACGUAGGCCAGCGUCCCAGCAAGCAACAUCAUGAUGUGUGAACCUGUCAAGUUUGUAGAGAACGGGAAGCAACUGCCCUCAAAGUAAAUAAGGAUGUGAAGUUGGCACUUAUUCGCAUAGGUGUUGUGCUUGGCAAAGAUGGCGGUGCUUUAGAUAACAAAGCUUCUCCUGCCUCACACAUAGUUACACCUUUGAGCUUCUGCAGCUAAAAUGAUCCCUUUCUUCAUGGUGUUCGCUGGAGGACCCUUGGGCUCUGGAAAACAAUGGUUUUCCUGGAUUCAUCUGGAUGACAUAGUGAACCUGAUAUAUGAAGCUCUAUCCAAUCCAUCUUAUAAUGGAGUUAUCAAUGGAACUGCACCCAACCCGGUUUGAUUUGCAGAAAUGUGUGAACAUUUGGGAAAUGUCUUGGUAGGCCUUCAUGGCUGCCUGUACCAGGUUUCGCCCUGAAAGCGGAUCCUUGGAGAAGGUGCUUCUGUGGUUCUGGAUGGGCGAAGGGUGCUUCCAGUUAAAGCCAAGGAAUUCAGUAGAUAAUGUGACAGGAAUUAGGCUUCACGUUCAAGUACUCUUCUGUGAAAGAUGCUUUAAGAUCUAUUAUUUCACAAUAAGUGACAUAAUGUGACGGGAAACAUCCAUGGUUCUUCUUUCUUUUAGGUAUUGUUAUAAUAAGUUGCAGAAGAAGCAUCUUUCUUUUUCAUUCUUUUUGUUAUAGUCUCUAAUACAAGGAAAGGGAAUAGAAAGCAAACAAAACAGUAAACAAAAAAGGAUCAGAAUAGAUACAUCUUAUAAGAAUAGGGACUACUACCACAUUGGAUCACUUCUGGAUCGAUUAGAAGGCUUGAAAUAUAGGCAACAAUUCAAUCCGCCCAAACUUACCGAUACAAUCCGAUCUAAUUUUAAUUG